ACGAACGCUGGCGGCGUGCCUAAUACAUGCAAGUAGCACGCUGAAGGAGGAGCUUGCUCUUCUGGAUGAGUUGCGAACGGGUGAGUAACGCGUAGGUAACCUGCCUGGUAGCGGGGGAUAACUAUUGGAAACGAUAGCUAAUACCGCAUAAGAGUAGAUGUUGCAUGACAUUUACUUAAAAGGUGCAAUUGCAUCACUACCAGAUGGACCUGCGUUGUAUUAGCUAGUUGGUGGGGUAACGGCUUACCAAGGCGACGAUACAUAGCCGACCUGAGAGGGUGAUCGGCCACACUGGGACUGAGACACGGCCCAGACUCCUACGGGAGGCAGCAGUAGGGAAUCUUCGGCAAUGGACGGAAGUCUGACCGAGCAACGCCGCGUGAGUGAAGAAGGUUUUCGGAUCGUAAAGCUCUGUUGUAAGAGAAGAACGAGUGUGAGAGUGGAAAGUUCACACUGUGACGGUAUCUUACCAGAAAGGGACGGCUAACUACGUG
rnacentral:rRNA from 1 species